UAAUACGGGGGGGGCAAGCGUUGUUCGGAAUUACUGGGCGUAAAGGGCUCGUAGGCGGCCAACUAAGUCGGAUGUGAAAUCCCCAGGCUCAACUUGGGAACUGCAUCCGAUACUGGAUGGCUUGAAUUCGGGAGAGGGAUGCAGAAUUCCAGGUGUAGCGGUGAAAUGCGUAGAUAUCUGGAGGAAUACCGGUGGCGAAGGCGGCAUCCUGGACCGACAUUGACGCUGAGGAGCGAAAGCUAGGGGAGCAAACGGGAUUAGAUACCCCGGUAGUCCUAGCCCUAAACGAUGAAUGCUUGGUGUGACGGGUAUCGAUCCCUGUCGUGCCGAAGCUAACGCAUUAAGCAUUCCGCCUGGGGAGUACGGUCGCAAGGCU
rnacentral:rRNA from 1 species